rnacentral:rRNA from 1 species
AACGAACGCUGGCGGCAGGCCUAACACAUGCAAGUCGAGCGAGGACUUCGGUCCUAGCGGCGGACGGGUGAGUAACGCGUGGGAACGUGCCCUUUGCUUCGGAAUAGCCCUGGGAAACUGGGAGUAAUACCGGAUGAGCCCUUUGGGGGAAAGAUUUAUCGGCGAAGGAUCGGCCCGCGUUGGAUUAGGUAGUUGGUGGGGUAAUGGCCUACCAAGCCGACGAUCCAUAGCUGGUUGGAGAGGAUGAUCAGCCAAACUGGGACUGAGACACGGCCCAGACGCCUGCGGGAGGCAGCAGUGGGGAAUCAUAGGCAAUGGGGGGAAGCCUGAUCGAGCCAUGCCGCGUGAGCGAUGAAGGCCUUAGGGUUGUAAAGCUCUUUCAGCUGGGAAGAUAAUGACGGUACCAGCAGAAGAAGCCCCGGCUAACUACGUG